ensembl:lncRNA
CUUGCCAAGUGGAUAAACAAGAGUUCCCAGGAAUAACUAACUUUCGCUGAUGUCUUCUGGUCCCAACCACACCUGCAGGCAAACCCUAUCCCAGGUCUGUGUCGAAGCAAUAGAAGCACGGCCUUGGGAAAGGCAGUCAGAGGGUCAAAGACCAGCUCCACCACGGACCCAGAAUGCUUGCGUGGAGGAUUGCAUUACCCUCUUUGAGUGUAUUUACCUCAUGUAUAAUGGAGGAGAAUGUAGAAUGUGAAAGAGAGAAGGCAGCAUUGACCACCAGAGUGGUGGUGGAUGAUUAAAUGAGAUAUCAUGCAGUAGACAGGGCUCCAAUCCGUGGCCACCAGCUUCAUAGCUAAAGACAUCCACAUCGGAGACAGUGUGGCGCUUGUUGAAAACGUCUGUGGUUAAGGCCCAAAAAACUGCAUUUCCGAAAAAAAUUCCAAGGACAAUCUCAUGCAGGGAAAGAGCCCCACCAUUAAACAAACAAUCUAGGAUGGAAACCUCCAAAAGCUCUAGGGGCAGCAAGAAUGACUCAGCUGGAGCACGAUCGUGGGGUGUGUUCUUUCUGGCUGCAAGGAAUAAAAGACCGAACUUGCUGAAGAAGCAGUGUGUUCCUGGCGAUUUGGCUUAAGGGAAUUGAUACCAGCUUUCCAGGAGGAGCAGCUGUAAACACCCAGCCUCAGGAAGAAAGGUUAUGUUCUCUGUGAGAUAUCUAGGCUCUGAAACUCCACAACUUGUUUUCACCCUUAAAGAAAAAACAGAUUCUUUCCACCGAAUCCUUUUAGUAACCAACGUGAACCUUAGGAAUUUAGGCAGGAUUUUUCCACGUCUGAUUUAAAGUCGAGAGAUUGAGGACAAGGCGAAGAGAGAAUCUAGUUAAGAGAGAACGUGCAGGACAAAUAUAGCUUAAAAGGACCUGGGAUCAGUGAAAACCCGGUGUCCCUCGCGGGGCCUGACCACCCUCCCUUCAUCUGACAGAUGAACCAGCCCACCUAUUACCCAACGAAAGGCGGGCGCCGGUCCUCUCUGCCAGGUCUCUCUAGCCCCAGGCUGCCGCAGCCUGGGCUCUUCUCCCUUGUCUAACCGCGCCAGCGCCAGAAGACCUGGAGUCCAAGAAUUGUGUGGAGAUAGCUACACUACCAUCGUGUGAUAUCCUAAGAAUCAGAAAUUUCUGUUGGUGACAAAGUGACAGGACUGUCAUAUGCCCACAUUCAGACGGAAAAGCUACAUUUCUUGAAGAAAUUAGUCAAGUAAAGACGUCAUUCUCCCACCCACCUUAGAUGUAGGACGUUUUGCAGCGCAUGUCGCUGGAUCGCGUGGCAAGGGCUGUUCUAGGCGGUUUUGGUGACCGGCGGCCUCCAUCAAAGGCAUGGAGCACUUGGCCGGCUCUGUGGGGUCUCCUCCCGCAAAGGGGCAGGGCCCCUCCCCCUUCCUUUUCCUAGGAAACUGCGGGACACUGUUCCCAACUCCUCUCCCCUGGUGAGUGUGAGAGCGUCAUGACUGCUCGUUUCUUCCCCGGAAAUCCUGUUCCUCCUAGCUGUCCUUACCAGACACACCUUUUGAGUUCAUCUUUCUUCUCCUUUUAUUCCCUCAAAAUCUUGCUCCCAUUUCUAAAUCACAUCCUUGGCCUGAGCCUGAAAAUCUUUUGCUGUUGCUCUUAUUCCUUCUAUGGUAGUUUUAGUCGUCAAGCGCUCUUGUUCUAAAGUGGUCUCCGGAUGAAGCGCCAUCCCCAGGCGUGAGGCCUAGCACCGCACGGCCUAAACCGGGAGGGUGAUGACGUCAC